rnacentral:rRNA from 1 species
AAACCAACAGGGAUUGCCUUAGUAACGGCGAGUGAAGCGGCAAAAGCUCAAAUUUGAAAUCUGGCACUUUCAGUGUCCGAGUUGUAAUUUGAAGAAGGUAACUUUGGAGUUGGCCCUUGUCUAUGUUCCUUGGAACAGGACGUCACAGAGGGUGAGAAUCCCGUGCGAUGAGGUGUCCAAUUCUAUGUAAAGUGCUUUCGAAGAGUCGAGUUGUUUGGGAAUGCAGCUCUAAGUGGGUGGUAAAUUCCAUCUAAAGCUAAAUAUUGGCGAGAGACCGAUAGCGAACAAGUACAGUGAUGGAAAGAUGAAAAGAACUUUGAAAAGAGAGUGAAAAAGUACGUGAAAUUGUUGAAAGGGAAGGGCUUGAGAUCAGACUCGGUAUUUUGCAAGCCUAUCCUUCGUGGAGAGGUUUAUUAGCAGCUUACCGGGCCAGCAUCGGUUUGGAUGGUAGGAUAAUAGCAUUGGAAUGUGGCUCUUCGGAGUGUUAUAGCCUUUGUUGAUACUGCCUAUCUAGACCGAGGACUGCGUCUUUGACUAGGAUGCUGGCGUAAUGAUCUUAAGCCGC